UACGUAGGGGGCAAGCGUUGUCCGGAAUCAUUGGGCGUAAAGCGCGUGUAGGCGGUCCGGUAAGUCGGUUGUGAAAGUCCAGGGCUCAACCCUGGGAUGCCGACCGAUACUGUUCGGACUAGAGUUCGGAAGAGGCGAGUGGAAUUCCCGGUGUAGCGGUGAAAUGCGCAGAUAUCGGGAGGAACACCAAUGGCGAAGGCAGCUCGCUGGGACGUUACUGACGCUGAGACGCGAAAAGCGUGGGUAGCAA
rnacentral:rRNA from 1 species